rnacentral:rRNA from 1 species
CUACGGGAUGCACCAGUGGGGAAUAUUGCACAAUGGGCGAAAGCCUGAUGCAGCAACGCCGCGUGAGUGAUGAAGGUUUUCGGAUCGUAAAACUCUGUUCUAAGGGAAGAUAAUGACGGUACCUUAGGAGAAAGCCCCGGCUAACUACGUGCCAGCAGCCGCGGUAAUACGUAGGGGGCAAGCGUUAGCCGGAAUUACUGGGCGUAAAGGAUGCGUAGGUGGCCUGACAAGUCAGGGGUAAAAGGCAACGGCUCAACCGUUGUAAGCCCUUGAAACUGUCGGGCUUGAGUUCAGGAGAGGAAAGCGGAAUUCCAAGUGUAGCGGUGAAAUGCGUAGAUAUUUGGAGGAACACCAGUGGCGAAGGCGGCUUUCUGGACUGAUACUGACACUGAGGCACGAAAGCGUGGGGAGCAAACAGGAUUAGAUACCCCAGUAGUC